rnacentral:rRNA from 1 species
UUUUAUGGAGAGUUUGAUCCUGGCUCAGAGUGAACGCUGGCGGCGUGCCUAAUACAUGCAAGUCGAACGAUGAAGCUUCUAGCUUGCUAGAGUGCUGAUUAGUGGCGCACGGGUGAGUAACGCAUAGGUCAUGUGCCUCUUAGUUUGGGAUAGCCAUUGGAAACGAUGAUUAAUACCAGAUACUCCCUACGGGGGAAAGAUUUAUCGCUAAGAGAUCAGCCUAUGUCCUAUCAGCUUGUUGGUAAGGUAAUGGCUUACCAAGGCUAUGACGGGUAUCCGGCCUGAGAGGGUGAACGGACACACUGGAACUGAGACACGGUCCAGACUCCUACGGGAGGCAGCAGUAGGGAAUAUUGCUCAAUGGGGGAAACCCUGAAGCAGCAACGCCGCGUGGAGGAUGAAGGUUUUAGGAUUGUAAACUCCUUUUGUUAGAGAAGAUAAUGACGGUAUCUAACGAAUAAGCACCGGCUAACUCCGUGCCAGCAGCCGCGGUAAUACGGAGGGUGCAAGCGUUACUCGGAAUCACUGGGCGUAAAGAGCGCGUAGGCGGGAUAGUCAGUCAGGUGUGAAAUCCUAUGGCUUAACCAUAGAACUGCAUUUGAAACUACUAUUCUAGAGUGUGGGAGAGGUAGGUGGAAUUCUUGGUGUAGGGGUAAAAUCCGUAGAGAUCAAGAGGAAUACUCAUUGCGAAGGCGACCUGCUGGAACAUUACUGACGCUGAUUGCGCGAAAGCGUGGGGAGCAAACAGGAUUAGAUACCCUGGUAGUCCACGCCCUAAACGAUGGAUGCUAGUUGUUGGAGGGCUUAGUCUCUCCAGUAAUGCAGCUAACGCAUUAAGCAUCCCGCCUGGGGAGUACGGUCGCAAGAUUAAAACUCAAAGGAAUAGACGGGGACCCGCACAAGCGGUGGAGCAUGUGGUUUAAUUCGAAGAUACACGAAGAACCUUACCUAGGCUUGACAUUGAGAGAAUCCGCUAGAAAUAGUGGAGUGUCUGGCUUGCUAGACCUUGAAAACAGGUGCUGCACGGCUGUCGUCAGCUCGUGUCGUGAGAUGUUGGGUUAAGUCCCGCAACGAGCGCAACCCCCUUUCUUAGUUGCUAACAGGUCAUGCUGAGAACUCUAAGGAUACUGCCUCCGUAAGGAGGAGGAAGGUGGGGACGACGUCAAGUCAUCAUGGCCCUUACGCCUAGGGCUACACACGUGCUACAAUGGGGUGCACAAAGAGAAGCAAUACUGCGAAGUGGAGCCAAUCUUCAAAACGCCUCUCAGUUCGGAUUGUAGGCUGCAACUCGCCUGCAUGAAGCUGGAAUCGCUAGUAAUCGCAAAUCAGCCAUGUUGCGGUGAAUACGUUCCCGGGUCUUGUACUCACCGCCCGUCACACCAUGGGAGUUGUGUUUGCCUUAAGUCAGGAUGCUAAAUUAGCUACUGCCCACGGCACACACAGCGACUGGGGUGAAGUCGUAACAAGGUAACCGUAGGUGAACCUGCGGUUGGAUCACCUCCUUUCUAGA